rnacentral:rRNA from 1 species
GCAGUGUUUCGUCAUGGGCGCAGCCUGAUCAGCCAUGCCGCGUGUGUGAAGAAGGCCUUAUGGUUGUAAAGCACUUUAAGCGAGGAGGAGGCUACUUUAGUUAAUACCUAGAGAUAGUGGACGUUACUCGCAGAAUAAGCACCGGCUAACUCUGUGCCAGCAGCCGCGGUAAUACAGAGGGUGCAAGCGUUAAUCGGAUUUACUGGGCGUAAAGCGCGCGUAGGCGGCUAAUUAAGUCAAAUGUGAAAUCCCCGAGCUUAACUUGGGAAUUGCAUUCGAUACUGGUUAGCUAGAGUGUGGGAGAGGAUGGUAGAAUUCCAGGUGUAGCGGUGAAAUGCGUAGAGAUCUGGAGGAAUACCGAUGGCGAAGGCAGCCAUCUGGCCUAACACUGACGCUGAGGUGCGAAAGCAUGGGGAGCAAACAGGAUUAGAUACCCUGGUAGUCCAUGCCGUAAACGAUGUCUACUAGCCGUUGGGGCCUUUGAGGCUUUAGUGGCGCAGCUAACGCGAUAAGUAGACCGCCUGGGGAGUACGGUCGCAAGACUAAAACUCAAAUGAAUUGACGGGGGCCCGCACAAGCGGUGGAGCAUGUGGUUUAAUUCGAUGCAACGCGAAGAACCUUACCUGGCCUUGACAUAGUAAGAACUUUCCAGAGAUGGAUUGGUGCCUUCGGGAACUUACAUACAGGUGCUGCAUGGCUGUCGUCAGCUCGUGUCGUGAGAUGUUGGGUUAAGUCCCGCAACGAGCGCAACCCUUUUCCUUAUUUGCCAGCGAGUAAUGUCGGGAACUUUAAGGAUACUGCCAGUGACAAACUGGAGGAAGGCGGGGACGACGUCAAGUCAUCAUGGCCCUUACGGCCAGGGCUACACACGUGCUACAAUGGUCGGUACAAAGGGUUGCUACCUAGCGAUAGGAUGCUAAUCUCAAAAAGCCGAUCGUAGUCCGGAUUGGAGUCUGCAACUCGACUCCAUGAAGUCGGAAUCGCUAGUAAUCGCGGAUCAGAAUGCCGCGGUGAAUACGUUCCCGGGCCUUGUACACACCGCCCGUCACACCAUGGGAGUUUGUUGCACCAGAAGUAGCUAGCCUAACUGCAAAGAGGGCGGUUACCACGGUGUGGCCGAUGACUGGGGGUGAGUACA